rnacentral:rRNA from 1 species
GUCCAGACUCCUACGGGAGGCAGCAGUGGGGAAUAUUGGACAAUGGGGGGAACCCUGAUCCAGCGACGCCGCGUGAGUGAAGAAGUAUUUCGGUAUGUAAAGCUCUAUCAGCAGGGAAGAAAGAAAUGACGGUACCUGACUAAGAAGCCCCGGCUAACUACGUGCCAGCAGCCGCGGUAAUACGUAGGGGGCAGGCGUUAUCCGGAUUUACUGGGUGUAAAGGGAGCGUAGACGGCAGUGCAAGUCUGGAGUGAAAGGCGGGGGCUCAACCCCCGGACUGCUCUGGAAACUGUACGGCUGGAGUGCAGGAGAGGUAAGUGGAAUUCCUAGUGUAGCGGUGAAAUGCGUAGAUAUUAGGAGGAACACCAGUGGCGAAGGCGGCUUACUGGACUGUACCUGACGCUGAGGCGCGAAAGCGUGGGUAGCGAACGGGAUUAGAUACCCUGGUAA